UACGUAGGGGGCUAGCGUUGUCCGGAAUCAUUGGGCGUAAAGCGCGCGUAGGUGGCCUCAUAAGUCCGUUGUGAAAGUCCAGGGCUCAACCCUGGGAUGCCGGUCGAUACUGCCGGACUAGAGUUCGGAAGAGGCGAGUGGAAUUCCCGGUGUAGCGGUGAAAUGCGCAGAUAUCGGGAGGAACACCUAUGGCGAAGGCAGCUCGCUGGGACGUUACUGACGCUGAGACGCGAAAGCGUGGGGAGCAAACAGG
rnacentral:rRNA from 1 species